AACAGUUUAACAAUAAAGACAAUGUAUAGACAACAGGGAAGAACGUAAAUUGUGUGAAGUAGCCGGAAAGGAAAUGAUCCCCAAAAAUAAUAAGGAAGAAAUUUGGAGCGAGCAAAAUUUUGGAAUGAGGAUGAGCAAGGCGAUGUCCCGUGAUACUGGUGAUUGCAUAGCUCUGAUUUUAUCGAGAUCCACUUGUUUCAACCCCACGGCUGCAUUGGGGAAGGAGGCGAGGAAUGUGAGGGAGAGGAGGAGGAGGAGGAGGAAGAGGAGGGAGAGGAGGAGGAGGAGGAGGAGGAAGAGGAGGAAGAAGAGGAAGAGUAGGAGGAGGAGAGGUGCUGUGAUGUUAAGGUACGAUCUGCUGCCGGCCAUGGAAAGAGGAAGCCCUGCAAGUUUAAAGCACAACAAUGGCAAAGGGAGAUAAUGGAAUGCAAAUAACUAACCAAGAUAGAUUUAUAUGUGAGAUUUCAAUUGAGAAUAGGAAAACCAAGCCCCUAAAAUAUCCAAAAUGAUUAAGAAAUAUCCAAAGUUCCAUUUAAAUUGGGAGUCCAAGUUUGUUUGAGAUGAGAUUCAUUAUCUACUCAAGAUAUAGAUCUCAUUUCCCAACGUCUAUUUCUAAGAUGGAUGUAAAAAAAUGUUACAUCUAGUGCAAGUUAAAGUUAAAAUGGAGAGUAAGAAAGCAAUUCAAAAAAUAAUAGUUAU
rnacentral:lncRNA from 1 species